CCUACGGGUGGCAGCAGUGGGGAAUAUUGGGCAAUGGGCGCAAGCCUGACCCAGCAACGCCGCGUGAAGGAAGAAGGCUUUCGGGUUGUAAACUUCUUUUCUCAGGGACGAAGAAAGUGACGGUACCUGAGGACUAAGCCACGGCUAACUACGUGCCAGCAGCCGCGGUAAUACGUAGGUGGCAAGCGUUAUCCGGAUUUACUGGGUGUAAAGGGCGUGUAGGCGGGAAAGCAAGUCAGAUGUGAAAACCAUGGGCUCAACCUGUGGCCUGCAUUUGAAACUGUUUUUCUUGAGUACUGGAGAGGCAGACGGAAUUCCUCGUGUAGCGGUGAAAUGCGUAGAUAUGAGGAGGAACACCAGUGGCGAAGGCGGUCUGCUGGACAGCAACUGACGAUGAGGCGCGAAAGCGUGGGGAGCAAACAGGAUUAGAUACCCGAGUAGUC
rnacentral:rRNA from 1 species